UCUGCAUUUUCGACGCCGUCAAGAAAAUGGCGGAACUCGGGGCAAAUGCAUACACUUCCUGCAUAUGCUGCAUCGACAUGAGUCCAGAUUCUGAACUCUUUCGCAACUUCACAGAGAGGAAUCAGUGCAUCAACGGAGGCUGAAGAGGUGGUUCCGAUGGUGGCGCAGAAGAAUAAUGGGACAAGCCCAGCUUCGAUGUCGGCCUCAAUUGUUGAUCGGAGUGCCUCGGCGGUGAGUCCAAAUCCAUUGGCCUUUGUAGUCGAUACUGCUCGGAAAUUGUUGGGGUUGAUACCUGCGAUUUGAGCUGCCUUUUGCAAUGCAGAGUGGGUUUGAUCAGAUCCAUAGACCACAAGUUUGUUGAUAUUCUCUCUGCCGAUCUUCUUCAACAUCUGAUCCCUGGCGGCCACCAUCGUGCUCAAUAUGGCCUCGCAGGUAGUUCCCUGCAAAACUCCACCGCCGCCGCCGGAAAACAGGAAUUCAUUGGGAAGCUUUAGCAUUUUCCCCAGCCAGUCCAUCACGAUACUCUCCAGCUCCGUCGCCGCCGGCGACGACAUCCAGUUGAAACCCGCAACAUUGAAUCCAGUGCAAAGCAUUUCCCCAAGAAAUCCUGCAGUGCUUCCAGUGCAAGGAAAAUAAGCAUAGUAAUUUGGACUCAUCCAAUGUGUAAUACCUGGAAUAAUGUCUUUCUGUACAUCUCCCAGAAUUUCUUCAAGCGGUUCCGGUUCACAGGGUGCAGAUUCUGGCAACCGUUGCCGGAGAUACCCCGGUUGGACUUGGCUUCGGACAGGAUAUUUCUCAAUAUUUUUGUAAUAAUCAGCGAGGAAAUCAAUGACCAUAUGGCCUUGCUUUCGGAAUUCUUCAGGGUCUAGAGGCUUAAUGGUUUCAUUUUCAAGUUUAUGGACCUGGUUCUGAAUGCUUUCCAUUUUGGAUAGCUAUAAGUGAAUAAAGUAGCUUUUUAGAAGAAGAUCUUGAGACUUGUUGAGUUUUUGGAAAGAACAGUUCACAAAUGAGCACACAUAUAUAGAGUAGGCAUGGACAGAAGGGACAUAUCUGCUUAGUAGAGUAGAUGGGCGCGUUCAAUUAUUUUAUCAAUAAAGCUAUUUGUACGACAUAUGUGCCUCGCAGGUGCCCCUCCAAUAGGUGGCGUCACAUGUCUUCAACCUUGUUCCCAAGUCCGGACAGAGAGUUUUACUCAUUUGUACAAAGUGAGAUUAUAAAAGUUGAAUUACAAAUUUUGUUGACAAAAUUUAGGCUAUUGAUUUGAAAUAAUUUAAAAAUCUAUUUUGAAAUGAUUGGUAUGGAUAUUAUUUUGUCAACCAACUUUAUAAUCCACCUUUAUAAGUGUAGCACAGCCCUUAUUUUAUAGAUAAUCACUUUUUUUGCCCCCUAUUGAGCCAUUUUUUUUUAAGAAUGUACUUUUUUUUAAAAUUUAUUUUUAAUCACACAUUUUUUCAUAAAAUAAUUAUACAUGUAUUUUAGGAAAAAAAUUUCUUUAUUUUUUAACCACAUAAUCUACAAAAAAUCACUGUUCCAUAAUGCAUUUUAUUCCAAAAAUGGGAUCAAAUGGGAGUUUAUCUAAUUUCGCCACACUUCUAUCAUGGUUGACAACUUUGUUUACAUUCUUUGACAGGACACACAAUUUUACCAUUAAUUAUAAAAACACUUGUUCAAAUCAAUAUCUUCGAUUUUGACACCUCAAAGGGUGUCAAACUAGUUGCACACUAGCUUAAUUUUUUUAUCCAAUGUUGCUUGUUUUUCUUGUAAGUUCCGUACAUUUUAAAAUUUUUUUUUCCAAACUCAUUCAUAAUUUUUUUUAUACUUUUCAAUUACACAUUUUUUACGUGCAAAAUCACAUUAAAUUAAUUAAUAAGUUGUAAAACCACGUGUAUAAAUAAUUUCAUUCAAAUUGGGUCAAGAAUUUCCUUUUUCUUUUGCAUGAAUAUAAAGAAAUGAUAAUAAUUGGGAUAUGUGCUAAUCUUUGUCCAAUUUAUAGUAGACGUAGUUGAAAGUACAUGUGUAUAAUAUCAUAUGAUCCUUACACAGAGCAUUUCCUUACAGAAAUCUUACCGACCUCUCAUUGUAAGGGUGAAUCCCACAAAAAAAAAAAAAAAAAAAAAAAAAAAAUUAUGCCGAGGCCCACGCAUGUGUUAUAUUUGGCAGGGGUAUGUAAAAUAGACUCCUGUACAUGCAGGAUGCUCCAAUAUCAUAUAGCUGUAUAAGACCCCGUAUUAUUUAUUAAUUCAAUGGAUUUUUUGUACAAAAAUAAUAGAAAAAAAUUAAUGGAUACGCCAAAAAUAAUUAAUGGAUGUAUGAUGCAUCAAGCAGCACAAUGUGUAGACGUUUAAUGAAAAAAUUUCAUAUAGAUUUAUUAUCGAAAUAUAAAUUAAAAUAUAAGAACUUGGACUAUUCUUUUCACGAGGUUGAUCAUUUAGAUGAAAUCUUAAAUCUUAAUGUAAACUAGAUAAAUUUGCAGCAAGGUCCAAAACUAUUCAAAGAUAUGCUACGUGGUUUCAAAUCUUUCAAAAAUGUAUAGCACGAUCCCAAACCUUUAAAUUUUUGAAGUUAUGUUCCAACAUUUUCAAUAAAUGCGUGCUCGUCGGAUUUAUGGACGGAUUCGGUCCAAAUUAAGAACCACAAAAAUAAUUUUAUAUUUCUUGCCUGAAAUAAUUUAAUAAAAAGAACAAAAUGAUAACUUUAUAUUUUUUACCUGAAUGAAAUAAUUCAAUUAAAAAAAUAAAAAUAAAAAUAAAAAAGAAAAAAAAUAAUUGUAAUAAAAAAUAUAAUUCUUCACGUCCCUCAACCACCAAAACCUCAGCCCCCUCACCCAACCGCAGCUUCAAUCAGACUCCAUUGCUCUCUGAUUUUUAUUUUUAUUUAUUUUUUUUCAUUUCCCCAUUUCUCAUUUCUCUCUCUACAUUACAUUGUUGUGCUUUUUUGAUGAAGAAUGUUGUGGUAUUUCUUUUCUUUUUCUUUUGUUUUUCUUUUGUAAUUUUUUAGAUGAGAAUAUAUUGAGUUAUAAUUUUACACUUUCUAAAAAUUGUCAAAUGCAACCUUAUGUUAAAUAAUGACCCUUGUACAGAAUCCAUCCUGAGAUCCUUCAGGCGCAUAUUCAUUGAAAGAUUUGAAAUGCAAUUGAUACGAUUUAAAGUUUUAAAACUGCACUCCACAUUUUAAAAAUUUUAGGAACCUACACUGCAAAAUUCCUAUAAAGUCAGUAACGAUAUAGUACUAAGACACAUGAUAUAACUGCUAACGGUAUAAACUAACUUGAACCAAUAUAGUGAAUCAAUUCAAAGGGAAGAAAAGAAAAGAGGAGUAGAAGAAGAAAGAGAGAAAACAAUAAUUUAUUGAGCCACCAAAAAAAUUAGGUUUCUAAUGAAAAUACUAAUUUUAUAUAAAAAAAAGAAAAAAAAAAGGGAAACCUAUAAAAGAAGGAAAUUAAAUAUGCAAUAAUAUUAUAUUUUGGCUAACAUAUAUUAUAUAUAGCUAACAUCUUUGUGAGAGUUCUGAAUAGUACUGUAAGCCUGCUCAAGAUCUAUAUUUGAAGGAUGAAAUUUUUUGUUUCUUUGAUUUCCUUGAAAUUCUUUGAUUACAGAUCAAGAUGAAUACGGGAUUUUUCUUUGAUUUUCUUGGAAUUCUUCGAUUACGGAUCAAGAUGAAUUAAUAUCUAUCUAAGUAUACUUGAGAUACCUAUUCGAUCGUGACUUCAUGUACCAACACUAGAAAGACAAAAUCAAAUUUUUACGCGCCUUAUCCCUAGCUAUAUAGAUAAUAUCUAAUUCUAAAUUGUCCACUCUAUUAUUAUUAUUAUUAUUAUUAUUAUUAUUAUUAUUAUUAUUAUUAUUAUUAUUAUUAUUAUUAUUAUUAUUAUUCAACGUGCACCAAACUGAAGGAAUUUUCAUUUUCAAUAUAUAAUUGUUAAACAUUCUGAAUAUAAAUUUUGGAAGAGUAAGUGUAAUUUAUUUAGCACUAAUUGUAUUUGUUACUAGUCUAGGUGGCACAUUAUAUUUAAACUUGUCUAAUUACGUAAAUAUUAAUUUUAAUUCAUAGAACAAGUUUAAGUAAGCUUCAGUACCAUAUAGACGAGUACGAAAUACCAGUGGUACUAAUAUAGCAUUAUACGUGUAGAGCACUAUUCCUGUUGGAGUGGGAAAAGAAAAAAUCCUUCAAAAGGGCAAAUAAAUAAUUUGGUGUAACUAUAAAUAACUUAUGCCAAAAAAAGAAAUAUUCACGAUUUAUUAAAAGCAAAUCGAACUGAUUAAAUGUUUUAUUUUUGCCUUUCUUGAUCACGACGUGUUCAAUAGGGCAUUUGCAUGGUCUUGUACAGCCUUCCAUGCCAAGUUGACGUGCCUAUUUUCUGUAAGGCUCGCACCGAUUGCGAACCGCAUCACAUAGACACCGCCGAUCACUGCAUGAGUCAUGAAUAUCUUACCGGACUCAUUGAUCGAUUCCAGUAACUUGGCGUUGAAGUUAUUGGUGGCUUCCUCCUUGGUGAUGAUCUGAUUUUUUCCGAUUUCUAUCGGCGAAAUCCUGAAACAAACAGUGGAGAAAUUUCUAGGCACGACCACCUCAAACCUCUUGUCCUUGGCGAUCAGGCCUUCAAAAAUUUUCGCCAUGUUUACGUGGCUCCUGAGGAAUUUUCUGAGAUUGUCGACGCCAUAGCUACGUAGAACGAGCCAUAAUUUAAGGGACCUGAACCUCCGGGUUAGAGUGAUUUGCCAAUCUUUAUAAUCGACGACUUGUUUAGAUUCAGAGGCUUUGUUUCUCAAGUACUCGGGAUAGGUCGAUAGAGCUUGGAUAAGGGCGCCUGGAUUUUUCACCCAAAGGCAGCAACAGUCGAGGGUGCUGAAGAACCAUUUGUGUGCGUUGAAACUGAAAGAAUCUGCAUUUUCGACGCCGUCAAGAAAAUGGCGGAACUCGGGGCAAAUGCAUACACUUCCUGCAUAUGCUGCAUCGACAUGAGUCCAGAUUCUGAACUCUUUCGCAACUUCACAGAGAGGAAUCAGUGCAUCAACGGAGGCUGAAGAGGUGGUUCCGAUGGUGGCGCAGAAGAAUAAUGGGACAAGCCCAGCUUCGAUGUCGGCCUCAAUUGUUGAUCGGAGUGCCUCGGCGGUGAGUCCAAAUCCAUUGGCCUUUGUAGUCGAUACUGCUCGGAAAUUGUUGGGGUUGAUACCUGCGAUUUGAGCUGCCUUUUGCAAUGCAGAGUGGGUUUGAUCAGAUCCAUAGACCACAAGUUUGUUGAUAUUCUCUCUGCCGAUCUUCUUCAACAUCUGAUCCCUGGCGGCCACCAUCGUGCUCAAUAUGGCCUCGCAGGUAGUUCCCUGCAAAACUCCACCGCCGCCGCCGGAAAACAGGAAUUCAUUGGGAAGCUUUAGCAUUUUCCCCAGCCAGUCCAUCACGAUACUCUCCAGCUCCGUCGCCGCCGGCGACGACAUCCAGUUGAAACCCGAUCCAUAGACCACAAGUUUGUUGAUAUUCUCUCUGCCGAUCUUCUUCAACAUCUGAUCCCUGGCGGCCACCAUCGUGCUCAAUAUGGCCUCGCAGGUAGUUCCCUGCAAAACUCCACCGCCGCCGCCGGAAAACAGGAAUUCAUUGGGAAGCUUUAGCAUUUUCCCCAGCCAGUCCAUCACGAUACUCUCCAGCUCCGUCGCCGCCGGCGACGACAUCCAGUUGAAACCCGAAACAUUG
rnacentral:lncRNA from 1 species